GUGGAUGUAGUGAAGUGGUUAUCACGCAAGCCUGUGGAGCUUGAGAUCGGGAGUUCAAUCCUCCCCUUCCACC
rnacentral:tRNA from 1 species